AUUGAACGCUGGCGGCAUGCCUUACACAUGCAAGUCGAACGGUAACAGGUCUUCGGAUGCUGACGAGUGGCGAACGGGUGAGUAAUACAUCGGAACGUGCCUAGUAGUGGGGGAUAACUACUCGAAAGAGUGGCUAAUACCGCAUGAGACCUACGGCUGAAAGCAGGGGAUCGCAAGACCUUGUGCUACUAGAGCGGCCGAUGGCAGAUUAGGUAGUUGGUGGGAUAAAAGCUUACCAAGCCGACGAUCUGUAGCUGGUCUGAGCGGACGAUCAGCCACACUGGGACUGAGAAACGGCCCAGACUCCUACGGGAGGCAGCAGUGGGGAAUUUUGGACAAUGGGCGCAAGCCUGAUCCAGCAAUGCCGCGUGCAGGAUGAAGGCCUUCGGGUUGUAAACUGCUUUUGUACGGAACGAAAAGCCCCGGGUUAAUACCCUGGGGUCAUGACGGUACCGUAAGAAUAAGCACCGGCUAACUACGUGCCAGCCGCCGCCGUAA
rnacentral:rRNA from 1 species